CUGAUAUUGUUUCAGUUGUAAACUCAGUCAUAGAUGAUGUAUUCUGCUCCUCUGUUGUUGAAGUUACCGGAGAUGCAGAGGUACCUGUUGUGUAUAUUGUCGUUUCCAUUGUAGAAGAUUCUGAUGUUAUUGUAGUCCCAGUGGACUCUUCUGUUGUAAAGGGUGUUGAUUCUGGUAUUGUGGGGGAACUAUCAGGAUUGGUUUGUGUCUGUUGGCUUUUGGUUAGUUCUACAGUAGCUGAAGUUUCUGUUGUAAACUCAGUCAUAGAUGAUGAAUUCUGCUCUUCUGUUGUUGUAGUUACAGGAGAUGGAGAGGUACCUGUUGUGUUUAUUGUAGUUUCCAUCGUAGAAGAUUCCGAUGUGAUUGUAGUCCCAGUGGACUCUUCUGUUGUGAAGGGUGUUGAUUCUGUUAUUGUGGGGGAACUAUCAGGACUGGUUUGUGUUUGUUGGCUUGUGGUUGGUACUACAGUAGCUGAUAUUGUUUCGGUUGUAAACUCAGUCAUAAAUAAUGUUUUCUGCUCCUCUGUUGUUGAAGUUACUGGAGAUGCAGAGGUACCUGUUGUGUAUAUUGUCGUUGCCAUCGUAGAAGAUUCCGAUGUGGUUGUAGUCCCAGUGAACUCUUCUGUUGUGAAGGGUGUUGAUUCUGUUAUUGUGGGGGAACUAUCAGGACUGGUUGGUGUCUGUUGGCUUGUGGUUAGUUCUACAGUAGCUGAUAUUGUUUCUGUUGUAAACUCAGUCAUAGAUGAUGUAUUCUGCUCUUCUGUUGUUGAAGUUACCGGAGAUGGAGAGGUACCUGUUGUGUAUAUUGUCGUUUCCAUCGUAGAAGAUUCUGAUUUGAUUGUUGUCCCAGUGGAUUCUUCUGUUGUGAAGGGUGUUGAUUCUGUUAUUGUUGGGGAACUAUCAGGACUGGUUUGUGUCUGUUGGCUUGUGGUUAGUUCUACAAUAGCUGAUAUUGUUUUGGUUGUAAACUCAGUCAUAGAUAAUGUAUUCUGCUCCUCUGUUGUUGAAGUUACUGGAGAUGCAGAGCUACCUGUUGUGUAUAAUGUUUCCAUUGUAGAAGAUUCAGAUGUGGUUGUAGUCCCAGUGGACUCUUCUGUUGUGAAGGGUGUUGAUUCUGGUAUUGUGGGGGAACUAACAGGAUUGGUUUGUAUCUGUUGGCUUGUGGUUAGUUCUACAGUAGCUGAUAUUGUUUCGGUUGUAAACUCAGUCAUAGAUAAUGUAGUCUGCUCUUCUGUUUUUGAAGUUACUAGAGAUGGAGAGGUACCUGUUGUGUAUACUGUAGUUUUCAUUGUAGAAGAUUCCGAUGUGAUUGUUGUCCUAGUGGACUCUUCUGUUGUGAAGGGUGUUGAUUCUGGUAUUGUGGGGGAACUAUCAGGACUGGUUAGUUCUACAGUAGCUGAAGUUUCUGUUGUAAACUCAGUCAUAGAUGAUGUAUUCUGCUCUUCUGUUGUUGAAGUUACCGGAGAUGGAGAGGUACCUGUUGUGUAUAUUGUCGUUUCCAUUGUAGAAGAUUCUGAUGUGAUUGUAGUCCCAGUGGACUCUUCUGUUGUGAAGGGUGUUGAUUCUGUUAUUGUGGGGGAACUAUCAGAAUUGGUUUGUGUCUGUUGGCUUGUGGUUAGUUCUACAGUAGCUGAUAUUGUUUCAGUUGUAAACUCAGUCAUAGAUGAUGUAUUCUGCUCUUCUGUUGUUGAAGUUACCGGAGAUGGAGAGGUACCUGUUGUGUAUAGUGUUUCCAUUGUAGAAGAUUCAGAUGUGGUUGUAGUCUCAGUGGACUCUUCUGUUUUGAAGGGUGUUGAUUCUGGUAUUGUGGGGGAACUAUCAGGAUUGGUUUGUGUCUGUUGGCUUUUGGUUAGUUCUACAGUAGCUGAAGUUUCUGUUGUAAACUCAGUCAUAGAUGAUGAAUUCUGCUCUUCUGUUGUUGAAGUUACUGGAGAUGGAGAGGUACCUGUUGUGUAUAUUGUUGUUGCCAUCGUAGAAGAUUCCGAUGUGAUUGUUGUCCCAGUGGACUCUUCUGUUGUGAAGGGUGUUGAUUCUGGUAUUGUGGGGGAACUAUCAGGACUGGUUUGUGUCUGUUGGCUUGUGGUUAGUUCUACAGUAGCUGAUGUUGUUUCAGUUGUAAACUCAGUCAUAGAUGAUGUAUUCUGCUCUUCUGUUGUUGAAGUUACAGGAGAUGGAGAGGUACCUGUUGUGUUUAUUGUAGUUUCCAUCGUAGAAGAUUCCGAUGUGAUUGUAGUCCCAGUGGACUCUUCUGUUGUGAAGGGUGUUGAUUCUGUUAUUGUAUGGGAACUAUCAGGACUGGUUUGUGUCUGUUGGCUUGUGGCUUGUUCUACAGUAGCUGAUGUUAUUUCUGUUGUAAACUCAGUCAUAGAUGAUGUAGUCUGCUUUUCUGAUGUGGAAGUUCCUUGAGAUGUAGAGGUACCUGUUGCGUAUAGUGUAGUUUCCAGUGUUGGACCAGUUUUCUUUGUAGAUGUUUCAAAUGAGGUCACAGGGAACUCGUCUGUUGUAAGUGAUGUAGAUUCUGUUUUUGUGGUACAAAUAGUAGGGCUGUUUUUUGUCUGUUGGCUUGUGGUUUUUUCAGCAGUAGCUGAAGAUAUUUCAGUUGUAAACUCAGAACAUUGAUCUGUUGUGAAUAAAGUAGUUUUAGUCGUAGUAUACCAAAUUAUUUAUAACAUUUAAUUAUAGAGCUGUGAACAACUGCACAUUUAACAUACCAUGGAUUAAUAAUUGCAUGAGUUUUACCAAGAUAACAUCAGUCUUUGUACUAGAUUGAUGCUACUGUAUAACAGCUACUAUCAAUCAUUUUAAGUUUUAAAAUGUGCUAUUAUUUUAGAUGAUUACAAAGAUUGUUUUAUAUUGAAGACAUUGGGUACAUUAUGAACUGUACUUGUAUUACUGGAAGAUGUGAAUUGAAUUGUUCAAUCGUUCAUAUAUUACACAAUUCCACUUAAAGAAUAGCCAGUUUCUAUUGUAGUUUCAGUGUCUUUGUUUAUCUUAAGCCAUUAUCAUUUUUGGUUGUCACAUUCAUCUUUUAACUCCAACAUACAUUUUAGAUUGAUUAAAAUGUGGAGAUAAUCAUUAAAAUUCUGUAGAAACUUACCUGUGUUUGCUCCAAUGCAGAUGAAAUGCAGCAGCAGAAGUAAGGCAAUAAAGUGCAGUAUUUUCCAUAAAUACAUGUUUAGAAAGUUCCUGUAAGAUGGUUGUUUUUGUUUGAAAUGAAAAUGAUUUAGCCAAUUGCAAAUGCACCAGCCAUCAGUGUGUCUCCUCUGUUAAAUUUCAACAUCAACCAGCAACAAGAUGUGUGCAUGCUCCCUGCAAACAAUAAAUGUCAUAAGGUAUGGCCUCUUUUGCAUUAAAAACCAUGUUCACACCUUAAGUAAACCACAGUACGCUGAUUGGAAGUUUAUGUGGUUUUGAAAGGUCAGAACAGUUAUAUGACCUUGUCUUCUUGUUACACCCUUCCCAAGAAAUGAGAAAAACAUAUACUUUCACUUUUUCAUUUGUUUGUCUUUUUCAAAAUAGUAUUUGCUCUCAGUUGUGAUAUGUACAUUUAAGACAAUAAGAUCUGUUUAACCAGACAUUAGGAAAGAUUGUGUACACACAUUACAAUAAACCACCAAAGUUUUACAGUAAGUUCAGUGCCAAUUUCAGUUUCAUUCACUGCAUUUUAUUUAGAAAAUCUGUGCUUGUACUGUUAUCUAACUAAUUUUUGCUAAUUAUAAAUGAUUUAAGGUACUGAAUACAGCAUAGUUAAACAACAUACAAACAAAAAAAGCCAAUUACCUGAAAGUUAAACAUAGUUAGAUCCAAUAAAGUUGUUUCUCAACAAUAUAAUCCAGGUGAUUAGAAUCUCUGAAAGCAGUGAUUUCUUGUUUACUUAUAUUUGAAGUAUAUUUUUGUUUUGUUUUGUAGCCUAAUAGACGAUGGACUGGAAAAUCACUCUAUAAUAUUUCACUCUAUCAUGUUACAACCCUUCAGGAACUAAUAGGUUGAACAGUUAAUCCUGCAAACGUAACCGCUUGUUUGAACCAGUCAGAAUACAGGAAAUAAACUGAUAUGUUUCAGAAGUUGCUGUGUGGUUGCUAUGUUAUCUAUAGACAUUGAUGGGUCACUCCUUCAAUGUAGGUCUGUGUGUUAUCGUAUGCCAAAAGUCGUAAAUCAGCACCACUCUUCAACAAGUCAUAGGAUUUUGGGUAGCACUCAUGUCCAUCACUUGAACAAUGCAGUUCCUGAAACAUAAUACUUAAUAUUGUAAUACUUGGUAACGUUGGUUUCUUUUGUUCUUAUGACGUUCUAUAAAAAGCAGUGCUCACUUUGUUUUAAUGAAUUUCGCAUGGCAACCACAGGAAAACAAUGGCAUUAAAUAUGCUCUUGGCAUUAAAUAUGUUCUUGACCUAUGGUCACGUUCUCCACACCUGUUUGCUAUUUCAAAAUGUUUUUGAGUCAUAG
ensembl:lincRNA